rnacentral:siRNA from 1 species
CUGUGUGUCUUCUAACAAGGAUA